AGUAGAGGCUAGCCUCUGGGUCAUGCCCUGAGCCCUUCUCCUGUUGAUCUGUCAUAUUCUUUCUUCUACUCAGAUCUCAGACUGGCUGUCAAUCAAGAGAGUUACAUAUGAUGGCACUCCUUUGUCUGACAGUGACGCCUAGUGCAUCUACUUCAGGGCCAGAUGUGAAAAUCUUACCUUGCUGAAACUGCAAUUCCUUGGCUCUUCCAAGAUUUGGGUCAUUAUAAACAACAACAUUGGUGAAUGCAAAUUAUUCGGAGACCUCUCUGAAGACUCCAGACUCUGCAGGAUUCCAAGCAGAGGUCAUUCUCCAAGUGUUUGCCUUCGCUGGCUUUUAAACCACCUCCCCACCACCACUAUCACUUGAAGCUGCUUUGAACCCAUUGAGAUAAAAUAAACACCCCAGGAUCCCCAAGAGCAAAGCAUAGAAGCGAGGAAGGGGUGCACUGCCUGGAAGCAGCGGAAAAGAAGACCCAGCAGGUCUCAGUGGAAUGUCACCGUGAAUCAUUUAGCUCAUGAAGAAGCGGAGACCCAACAGAGAUGUGUUCUAGAGCCAGCCAUGACAUCCAGCACCAUUCUUGCUGUCUGGAAAAGUGAACUUGAGCCUGGAGACCUUAUCUGCAAACUGGCUGUUGGGACUCUAUUGCGUGAUGAUGUCAUUGAUGACGUUGUGGUGUUGGCUAUGGGGAUGGGGUCCUCUGGAUUCUCACACCGACAUUUCCCAUUCCUUUGAUUUCUUGUGUUCACUAGUCCUAGUCUGGAACACAAUGGCUAGUGAAGCAGUAUUUCUAUUAUCAUCCUGCUGUCUGUAUAAAAUGCAUGAAGUAUGGGCGCCUAUUCAUACUUGAUUGUGGAGUGUGGGGGUUACGUUUAGUAUAUUACUCCAGGUGGUUACCAAAAAUAUGUUUUAAAUGAUCAUGAAAAGCUUCAGGCUUUUAUGUGACUGCAUUCCCUCCUUUAAUUGGGCUAGCUCUAACUGAAUAGUCUCUUAAAGAAGGUUAUCUCCUGUUUGGGAUUGAUUAUACCAGAAGUCAGAAACCUUAGUUCUGGUCCAGCCUCAGACAAUAAUUUACUGUUACCUUGGCAAAUUUACUGAUUUACAGUCUCAGUUUUUUCAUCUUUAAUGUAAGGGAUUUUUUUUGUUAAUAUAUACAUUAAUAUGUUUGGAAUUUACUACUAUUAUUUUGCUAAAAAUCAUAAUAUUAACCCCAAUGACAUAUUGCUAUACCUAUAGAGCUGUCCCUCACUCAACCCACAUCAGAGAAGCUUCUUCUUGCAGUAGAUGGAAACUAACAGAGAGACCCACAACUGGACAGUGUGCAUUGAGUGAGAGACUUUGGAGCACUCAGUCCUAACUGGGAUGUCUUCACCAAACCCUUUCCCUCAAGGCUCAGCCAUCUAUAUGGUAAGAGCCAGAGGUUGGUGGAUGACCUAUAGGAAACCACACCCUAGGGCAGGCCCCAUGGCCAGGAGUAGUUGGCUGACACAAAACAAAUUCCAUUGUGUGUGUGUGUGUGUGUGUGUGUGUGUGUGUGUGUGUGUGUGCAUGCAUGUGCAUGCACAUGUGCGCACACACACAUUUUGUUUCCUUUUGUCUUGUUUGGGAAUUUUUUUGUAUUAUUGGUUUUUUGUUUUGAUUUUCAUUCUUUGUUUUUGUUUUGAAAGAUAGAGAAAGAACAUAAAUUUAGGAAGGUAGGGAGAUGGGAAGGCUCUGGGAAGAUUUGGGAGGUGGAAAAAAACAUGAUCAAAACAUACUGUGUGAAAAUGAUGUUUAAAUGAUUUCUCCUCAUUUUAUUAUAUGUGUGUGGAUGUUUUGCCUGCAUGUGUAUCUGUGCACCGUAUACAUGCAGUGGCCACAAAAGCCAGAAGAGUCAGAUCUCCUGGGACUGGAGUUACAGAGAGUUGUGAGCUUCCAUCCGGGUGCUGCCAUCCAAACCUGGGUCCUCUGGAAACGCAGUCAGUGCUCUGAACCAGUGAGUCAUCAUUAAUAUUUUAAGUUUACUCUUGGAGAAUGUCAUACAGGCGUAUAAUGUAUGUCAAUCAUAUUUAACUUCCACUCUUCCUAACUUCCUAACUUCCCCCAUAUCCAUCCGUGUCCCCACUCCUUACUUCACAAAACAAAAUAGUCCCCUGUGGCCAAUUAGUGCUGUCCAUAUACCCAUGGGUAUGAGGACUGGGCCAUCCACUAGAGCGUGUUCAACCUACAAGGGACCACACACUCAAAGAAAACUGACUCACCCUCCCCCAGCAGCCAUCAACUGCCAAUAGCUCCUCAGCUAGGGGGAGGGGCUUAUAUGCCCCUCCCUAUUUAUGCUAAGUUGUUGAUUGGCUUGAUCUUGUGUAGGUCUUGUGCAGACAGCCCAAGUCUUCCGCGUUCAUGAGAAUGAUGGUCCUGCCAUACACAUAAAACACCAUUUUGUUCCAGUCCUUCCUAAACCACUGGCUCUUAGAAUCUUUCUGCCCCCUUUCCAUUACAGCAUAAGGUUUCUUACUUUAGACCUUCUGGGUAUAACAUUCUUCAGUUUAGAGCCGGGCGGUGGUGGCACACGCCUUUAAUCCCAGCACUCGGGAGGCAGAGGCAGGCAGAUCUCUGUGAGUUCGAGGCCAGCCUGGUCUACAAAGUGAGUUCCCGGAAAGGCGCAAAACGACACAGAGAAACCCUGUCUCAAAAAAACAAAACAAACAAACAAACAAAAAACAAUCAACAUUCUUCAGUUUAACUCUCUGCAAGCCCCUGAAAAUGCCAGGGCUGUACCUCAGAUCCAUCCUGUGCACAGAAAGACUGGUUCUUGGUGGAUCUCUAGAAGCAUAGACAAGCAGAAGUCUCACAGUUUGGGAAAACCAUGAGAGUAGGGGUUCACUUACAUUUUUUUGCCCGCUAGGCUUUUGUCCAUUGCCUCUACCUUCUGUUUCUUCAAUGCUACUUGAGAGAGGAAGUGAGGGGGUGAGGGGGAGAGGGGGGUAGAGGGAGAGAGGGUGUAGAACCUCUUGCAAUCAGAGCAGAGCAUGGUAAGUAGGAGACUGAUGAAGUGGCAUUGAGUGCUUUCAUACCCAGUAUGUUCAAGAAUAUGGUGGGCAUCUCUAGCAACAGACAGACCACGGGCCUCCCUUAUAAUUGCCUCAUCUUAUGGAUGUUGCCAUUAGUUGGUGAACCUCAGAGAGUGGGCCUUUUUAGGUAACUGUUCCUCCUCCAAGAAUGUUGGAAGUACACUGACCAGGACCUGGAGCCCCAGUCAUAGGCACUCAAAAUCUACCUUCUGAAUGAGUGACCUUCUGAAUGAGUGAGCGUCCCAGAAGAGUCAGUUGGUAAAAACUAGAGAGGAGUAAACUGUGGGGGACCAGCCACAGUACUCUUGAGUAGGGAGAAGUGGGAAAUAUUUAGAAAGAAAGAUACCUAGGUGACGAGAGGAAAGACAGAAAACAAAGAUAGCCUCGGGAGGGCCUGGGUCAAAACACACCAGUCCCUUCUGUCUCUACUAAAGGGCUUUUAAAGGAAUGCCAAGGAAUGGAGCAAAAGACCUCCCCCCAGCACAGCCAAGUGCAGACUAUCCCAAUCACCUGGUAAUCAUGCAUGGCACGUGGUCAAGCCAUCCCCUAAUGUAGCCCUGCUGUGUAAAGCAAGCUCAGAUCUCACUAGGAAGCUUUGCUGGGCUCCCACAGUAAACUACUUUCCCUCAGUGUAGCUUCCCAAGUCUGGGCCAUGGACUGACUAUCAGCACCAAGGGUAUAUGGCUCCUCUUAAUGUCUUGUUCCUUGUCUAUCUUCUGUUGGUGCCAGCUUCCUCCUCUGAAGAAGGGUCACUGAGUACCAUUUCUGUUUUCUUAGAAAUGUAUUUGUUCAGCUUUUUUUGUUAUGAUAAAAAUGUAUUAAAAUUGACCAUCUUAACCACUUUUAGGUAUAUAAACUUCAGUAAUGUUGAAUACAAUCACAUCAUUGUGAUAAAAAAAAAAACCCAUGUCCUUUUGUUGUUGUGCUGGGAUUGGACAGAGUACCCACAUACGCUGAGCAAUGAUCCACUGAGCCACAUCCCCAGGCUGACCAGAUUUUUCUAAGUGUGUGUGUGUGUGUGUGUGUGUGUGUGUGUGUGUGUGUGCGCGCGCGCGUGCGUAUUCAUGUAUGUGUGGAGGUCAGAUGACAACUUCAAGUGUCACACUUCAGAUACCAUCCUUUCUCUCACUCCUUUUUCCUCUCUCUCCUCUCAACUCCUCUUCUCUCUCUCUCUCUCUCUCUCUCUCUCUCUCUCUCUCUCUCUCUCUCUCUCUCCCUCCCUCUCCCUCUCCCUCUCCCUCUCCUUUCUCCCUCUCCCUUCCCCAUCUCUUUCUCUGUGAAAGGUUCUCUUACUGGCCUAGAACUUGACUAGCUGGCUGACCAGCAUGCCUCAGGGACUCACUAGUGCUGACAUUAUAAGUGACUUUUUACUAUGGUUUCUAGAGUUGACAUUCAGGUCCUUGUGCUUGCAAAGCUUUACUGACUGGGCAUCUCCCUGACUGUUUCUGUUUAAGACAAUUCCUGACACCUUAAAAAAUACUUAGAUUUUUGGAAAUCAAAUUUUAUAUAAGAAAUGACUCUAGACCUGCUCUGAAAGAAAAUCUAUUUUCUAAAAAACUUACUAAUUGGAGCUAUUUGCUUAUGCUUAAUAAAAUAUUCAAUAUUUCUAGUUGAAAGAGGGACUCAGCACAAAGGCCAUGUCUACCACGGAUGCAUUGCCUGAAGUUUUCCAUUUGGGACUCAUGACAUGAAAUACUUAUAAAGUACACUCAUAUUUACUGAAGUUCUGUUCAGAGUCAAAGUUGGUUGCAGGACCACAUGACACCAUUAGGUGCUGCUGUUUGAUAUGAUAGUAGGAAAUGACAGAAGCAGUAGACUACUGUCCUCCCUUCAUGGUCAUUGUGUGUCCUCUGGAUAGCAAGCUAUGCUAGACUCUGCAGAUACAACAAUACAUAAUAAUAAAACAACACCUCCAAGUGAGAUAAGUCACUGCUGUAGGAGGGGGCCAUGCAUUCAGAAAAGAUCACCAGUUUACAAUCUUCUGAUCAGAUAGGUGUUAUAGCAUAUUAUUUUUAAGGUUCAUUACUUUUGUUUAUGUUGCAUUUAUUUAUCUCUGUGAAGCUGUGUUACUGGGCCUGUCUAAAACACCUGAUGGUCUAAUAAAGAACUGAAUGGCCAAUAGCAAGACAGGAGAAAGGAUAGGCAGGGUUGGUAGGUAGAGAGAAGAUAUAGACGGAGAAAUCUGGGAGGCAAAAAAGAAGUAGCCAGAGCAGGAGGAGGACCCAGGGGCCAGCCACUCAGCUACACAGCAAGCCACGGAGUAAGAGUAAGAUUUACAGAAGUAAGGGAAUGGGAAAAGCCCAGAGGCAAAAGGUAGACAGGAUAAGUUAAGGAAAGCUGGCAAGAAACAAGCCAAGCUAAGGCCAGACAUUUAUAAUUAAAAAUAAGCUGCCCUGUGUGAUUUAUUUGGGAGCUGGGUGGUGGGCCCCCCCAAAAGAGCAAAAACAAACAACAAAUAGGCGAGGCAUGAAGUGAUCCAAAGUAGGAUGCAGGCCAUGGCAUCGAGAGAAAAGGGGGACUUUGGUAAAGAACUGAUGGGUUUGUGCUUCCAAGUUUGGUGUGGGUCCAGGUGGUCUCGAUUGCAUUUGUCACUGGUGUCAUAGUGUCCCUCGGAGUUAAUAAAAUGGUCUCCUGCAAGCUUGUUUGAUUUGGCUUAUAUGGCA